rnacentral:tRNA from 1 species
CAGAGCAUAGUUUAGUUUAGAACGCUGGCUUUGGGAGUCAGUGGUAGAUGUUAGAAUCAUCUUGCUCUGA